rnacentral:rRNA from 1 species
AUACGGAGGAUCCGAGCGUUAUCCGGAUUUAUUGGGUUUAAAGGGUGCGCAGGCGGCCAUUUAAGUCAGCGGUUAAAUCGUGGGGCUCAACCCCAUUCUGCCGUUGAUACUGGGUGGCUUGAUUGCGGUCGAGGUUGGCGGAAUUCGUUGUGUAGCGGUGAAAUGCAUAGAUAUGACGAAGAACACCGAUUGCGUAGGCAGCUGACCAGACCGCAAAUGACGCUCAUGCACGAAAGUGCGGGGAUCGAACAGGAUUAGAUACCCUGGUAGUCCGCACAGAAAACGAUGAAUACUUGUUUUCGGCGAUAUAAUGUCGGAGGCAAAGCGAAAGCGAUAAGUAUUCCACCUGGGGAGUACGCCGGCAACGGUGAAACUCAAAGGAAUUGACGG